rnacentral:misc_RNA from 1 species
UUUGCAAGUUCAUUCUUAGGCUUCAUUGUGGUGACUGCUUCAACAAUCAUCUAUUUGUAUAGUUCCAUUAGUAGCUUCAACCUUGAAAACCACAGGUUACAUGGUCAAAAGCAAGUCCCACAAACCAAUACACAAAUUUCACAAUUACAAAUGACCCAUUUAGAAUAAUAAUAAUAAUAAAGUGAUAUUGAUGAUACCAAUUAGUGAUUUGUUUAUGAAACUGAGAGAUAGGCUCAUGUACAAAGAAGAUAAAAAAGUUUUAUAAUUAUUGAUGUCAACAAAUUAUGCUAAAAUGACUUCCAGUAUAAGCUGCGCAUAAGUUCUUACUGCUUACACAUCUGAAUUUGAUCGUAGGCUUUCACAGACAUAUGUUGCUUUAAUUUCAUUUUGCAAUUCUUCUAAUAAUUAAACAAAUAGAUCAAGCAAGUUAUGUCCUAUUUUAGAAUCUAUGAAUACCAUUUCUUAAAUCUCAAAUUAUUACAAUUUUUAAACUAAGAGAAUUCCAAGAUAAUUUCCAUUGCAGUAAGUUGGAGACAAUGAAGACUACAACAUAAUCAUAACUAAGAGAUUAUAGACAAUGAAUUUGAACUCACAUACAGUAGUUAGCAAAGAUUCCAAUUCAACAAAGGUCAAAAAUUGGAUUUGAUAAAGCAUGUCAAGCCAGAGAUAAAAUUUGCGUUCAGGACAUCUACAGGUAUAUAGUUAUUAAACUAUGCACAUUUUUAUGGAACAAAACUGCACAUAAGUAAGUUUACUCUCUCAAAGUUCAUCAGCUCCUUUGCAACUCCGAAAGUCCACUGUUUGAAGCACCUUCAACAAUAAGAAUGAAUUUAGCCUCCUGAGCCUUAAUAUAAACACAUGAGGCACGAUAAAAAGGUUGAUGCACCAAAAACUAUAGAGGGGCACUUUUACUAUGAAGUGGAACACUAUUGUCUACCGCACCAUUUUACUCUCUCCAUCGUAUAUAGAGGCUGAGACAAGGUUUUCAAAAUGUAGAAAAACUGAAAGAAAUUGGGUCUAAAAUUUGAUCACGCAAGAUAAUUAAGUACCUGAGGUCAUGGGCAUAUUCAACUAAUAAUUGUUCUUAAAGGGGCUAAAGGAUUUGCAACUAGUAAACAGUACACUACAAGCCCAGAAAGAGAUCACCUGCUCUGAAACAUUUCAAAAUGAUUACAAACAAAAUAAAUUCUAAAAAAAAACCAUGAGGCUAUGAACCAAAUUAGCAUAAAAAUUAAACAAAUUUAGAUGAAUUACACCUUAAAUUCCUAAAAUGAAUUAGAGCAAAGUAAAAUACCAAAACAAAAAUCUCAAUCACAAAUGCUAUUCAAAUAGUCAAAAACUGGAAAUGGAUUGUUAAGUGUAACUCGAGUAAAUGGGAACGAAUAUCUUUGAAAACAACACACAUCUUGAAGUAGCUGCAGUAUUGGAUUUGGACAUAACCAUCAAGCGCUUUUUUUUAGCCUUUGGGAGGGAGAGAAGCCGCUGCUAAAGGGGGUGGCGAUGGUGGUGGU